GCUGGCUCAACCUGGAAAAAUGGCUUUUUUCGCACUCGUAAUGCGCAGGCCGCGGGUUCGAAUCCCGCCGUCAGCUCCA
rnacentral:tRNA from 1 species